rnacentral:rRNA from 1 species
UACGGAGGAUGCAAGCGUUAUCCGGAUUUAUUGGGUUUAAAGGGUGCGCAGGUUGUUUGAUAAGUCAGUGGUGAAAGUCUGUCGCUUAACGGUAGGAUUGCCAUUGAUACUGUUAGACUUGAAUAUGGAUGAGGUAGGCGGAAUGUGUAGUGUAGCGGUGAAAUGCAUAGAUAUUACACAGAACACCGAUUGCGAAGGCAUCUCACAAAUUCGUCAUUGACGCUGAGGCACGAAAGUGCGGGGAUCAAACA